CGCGGGGUGGAGCAGCCUGGUAGCUCGUCGGGCUCAUAACCCGAAGGUCGUCGGUUCAAAUCCGGCCCCCGCACCCA
rnacentral:tRNA from 1 species